ACGGGUGGGUAAUGUCUGGGAAACUGCCCGAUGGAGGGGGAUAACUACUGGAAACGGUAGCUAAUACCGCAUAACGUCGCAAGACCAAAGUGGGGGACCUUCGGGCCUCACACCAUCGGAUGUGCCCAGAUGGGAUUAGCUAGUAGGUGGGGUAAUGGCUCACCUAGGCGACGAUCCCUAGCUGGUCUGAGAGGAUGACCAGCCACACUGGAACUGAGACACGGUCCAGACUCCUACGGGAGGCAGCAGUGGGGAAUAUUGCACAAUGGGCGCAAGCCUGAUGCAGCCAUGCCGCGUGUAUGAAGAAGGCCUUCGGGUUGUAAAGUACUUUCAGCGGGGAGGAAGGCGGUGAAGUUAAUAACUUCACCGAUUGACGUUACCCGCAGAAGAAGCACCGGCUAACUCCGUGCCAGCAGCCGCGGUAAUACGGAGGGUGCAAGCGUUAAUCGGAAUUACUGGGCGUAAAGCGCACGCAGGCGGUCUGUCAAGUCGGAUGUGAAAUCCCCGGGCUUAACCUGGGAACUGCAUUCGAAACUGGCAGGCUAGAGUCUUGUAGAGGGGGGUAGAAUUCCAGGU
rnacentral:rRNA from 1 species